rnacentral:lncRNA from 1 species
AAAAACAACAAUAAAAUUUACAGGAAGUUGGCCAACUUUUUAUUAUCACCUUGCACCGGCAAUGGUAAAUCAGUUGUAAAACUUCUGUUGGUCUAAUUUCCAGGUCAUUGUUCCAGUAACUUCUGAGCUUUAAUAAUGUGAUAUGUCAAUAUGUAAUCUUCAUAUUAUUAUAAUUAUCAUUAUCUAAUGCUAAACAUUGCUUUCUAUGAGGAAGUCACAUUAGAGAACUCCCGGCUUUGGAGUUUGUUGUGGUUAAGAUAUGACCUGUUCCCCCAAAAGCUCAUGUGGCAAGGCAGGAAAGUUCAGAGGUGAAACUGUACAAGAGCCACAACCUAAUCAGUGGAGUAAUCCAUUUGCUGGAUUAAUAAUCUGAAUGGAUUACUUAGAGUACUGUAGGUGGGGUGUGGCUGGAGGAAACAGGUGAGGUCGCAUGUCCUUGGAUUAUGUCUUGUCCCGGCUUCUCUCCCCCUCUCUCUGCUUCCUGGCUGCCAUGAGCUGAGUAGCUUUCUUCACCAUGAUGUUGGG